GAUGAACGCUGGCGGCGUGCCUAAUACAUGUAAGUCGAGCGAACAGACGAGGAGCUUGCUCCUUUGACGUUAGCGGCGGACGGGUGAGUAACACGUGGAUAACCUACCUAUAAGACUGGGAUAACUUCGGGAAACCGGAGCUAAUACCGGAUAACAUGUUGAACCGCAUGGUUCAACAGUGAAAGACGGUUUUGCUGUCACUUAUAGAUGGAUCCGCGCCGCAUUAGCUAGUUGGUAAGGUAACGGGUUACCAAGGCAACGAUGCGUAGCCGCCCGGAGAGGGUGGUCGCCCACCUUGGAGCGUGGCCGGCGUCCUGGCUCCUACGGUAGGCAGCAGUCUGGAAUCUUCCGCAAUGGGCGGAAGCCUUACGGAGCAGCGCCGCGUGAGUGAAGAAGGUCUUCGGAUCGUAAAACUCUGUUAUUAGUGAAGAACAAAUGUGUCAGUAACUAUGCACUUCUUGACGGUACCUAAUCAGAAAGCCACGGCUAACUACGUG
rnacentral:rRNA from 1 species